rnacentral:tRNA from 1 species
CCCCACUGUCGAGGAGUGCCUUCGCCUCGCUGACCUGGGCGGUCGGUGAGGACGCCGGCGUGGAACUCGCCACGGUGCGGA